CAGCGAUCCCCAGCAUCCACCUCCACGUCCCAGGCGCCUGAGAACGAACAGGUAGAUGGAUUCAUUCAUUUUCUUGACAUAUAUACAUAGAUUAGAUUCUUCCGCAGUGUCCUGAGGAUCGAUGGAUGCUUGAGGAGAGCGAAGAGGGUGGUCAGGCAGCCGUGCCUUGGUGAAGGCCAGGUUGAUGAGGUAGGACAGGAACUGGCCGCCUGUGAUGAGGAAGCCGUUGGUGCUCACGAGAGCUCCUCUGAUGCGCGCAGGAGAAGACUCGGAUAUGUAGAGGGGCGCCGUCAUGGACGCCACGCCCACCCCGAGGCCGGCCAGGACGCGGCCGACGAUCAGGAGGGAGGGGCUCGGAGCGGCGGCCAUGGCGGCGGCGCCGGCGAAGAAGAGCAAGUCGGCGGCGAGG
rnacentral:lncRNA from 1 species